AGCAGGAAGUGCUUGCACUUCGCUGACGAGCGGCGGACGGGUGCGUAACACGUAGGAAUCUGCCUGGUAGUGGGGGAUAGCCCGGAGAAAUCCGGAUUAAUACCGCAUACGCACUAGCUCUUUACGAGCGGUGGAAAGGAGGGGACUCUUCGGAGCCUUUCGCUAUCAGAUGAGCCUGCGUCGGAUUAGCUGGUUGGUGGGGUAAAGGCCUACCAAGGCGACGAUCCGUAGCUGGUCUGAGAGGAUGAUCAGCCACACUGGGACUGAGACACGGCCCAGACUCCUACGGGAGGCAGCAGUGGGGAAUAUUGCACAAUGGGCGAAAGCCUGAUGCAGCCAUGCCGCGUGUGUGAAGAAGGCCCUAGGGUUGUAAAGCACUUUCAGUGGGGAGGAAAGGUUGAAGGUUAAUACCCUUCAGCUGUGACGUUACCCACAGAAGAAGCACCGGCUAACUCCGUGCCAGCAGCCGCGGUAAUACGGAGGGUGCGAGCGUUAAUCGGAAUUACUGGGCGUAAAGCGUGCGUAGGCGGCCACCUAAGUUGGAUGUGAAAGCCCCGGGCUCAACCUGGGAACUGCAUCCAAAACUGGGUGGCUAGAGUACGGGAGAGGAGUGUGGAAUUUCCUGUGUAGCGGUGAAAUGCGUAGAUAUAGGAAGGAACACCAGUGGCGAAGGUGACACUCUGGCCUGAUACUGACGCUGAGGUACGAAAGCGUGGGGAGCAAACAGGAUUAGAUAUCCUGGUAGUCCACGCCGUAAACGAUGUCUACUAGUUGUCGGUUGUCUUGUACGACUGGUAACGCAGCUAACGCGAUAAGUAGACCGCCUGGGGGGUACGG
rnacentral:rRNA from 1 species